AUUCCAUAUGUGUAUGUGUUAGAAAUAGAAUGAUUGCAAGCCUUUCUUUUGUAAGACAAAUUGAGCCCCCUAUUGUUUUGCCCUAGUCUUCCAUUUCGUCACACACGCAGAGCAGCAAUUAAGUCGAGUGAUCGAUCAUGGCGGUCCAACAGAGCUUCUCAAUCUGAUAUCAAAAAAUCGAUCUCAUUCGCUUUCGAUCAAUCUGUUCUGUUCGACUUGGCGAUCUUCCUCUGUCCCAAAUCAUCAUCACAUCUUACCUUACCCUUCAAGUACCCAUUCCAACCUCAUCCUUUCAACAAUAACGAUGACUCGAGUGUCCAAUUAGUGGCUGGCUGAACCAUUGGUUGAUGGUGGAGGCAUGAAAUUCUUAGUGGAGAGCGAGGGUGAUUUGUUGUUAGUAGAUGUUUAUGAGUGUAUACGUACUGGGUUCCCUGAUCAUGAUCCUGUAAGGAUUCAUGUGUUUAAGCUUAAUGAGAAGAAGUUGACUAGUUUAGGGGACAAGGUUUUGUUUUUGAACUUUAUAUGCUCAUUUUCUACAUCUGCUUCAAAUUUGUGUGUUUCCAAAUGAAAUUGUAUUAUCUUUAUGGAUUAUCUCUUCACAUCAGAUAUGUACGUUGGACAAAAUACACGUGUUUUGCACUUGGAUCAAGGUCGACUUUCAUCUGUGUCUAAUUCUCCUGAAUUUUCCAACUUGUUCUGGCCACCUCCCGAGUGGAUCGUCAAAAGCUGAAUUCGUAAGACAUCACCAUGACAAGUUAUUAUUAUGAAGUUUCUAAACUGAAGGUAACAAUGUUGAUGGUUUUGGAUAUCUUCUUUUGGGUGGAUAAGCGUUCUAGUGGAUUCUUCAACUCUUCUCUUUAAGAAAGUUGUGAUCAUUCAAGGUUUUUUAUGUUAUGUUAUUUUGAUUCGAUGUUGACCACUGGCAUCAUUGUGGUGAUCUAAGAUUGACAUGCAGCCCUGUGGAGUUGAGUCCUUGUUUAGGGUCAAUCACAACUUCUUCUCCACCAACAAGUGCUUGUUGUCAGAAGUUAAGAGAGCAGAGACCAUGCCUUUGUG